CUGGGUAGCUAUGUGUGGACGGGAUAAGUGCUGAAAGCAUCUAAGCAUGAAGCCCCCCUCAAGAUGAGAUUUCCCAACUUCGGUUAUAAGAUCCCUCAAAGAUGAUGAGGUUAAUAGGUUCGAGGUGGAAGCAUGGUGACAUGUGGAGCUGACGAAUACUAAUCGAUCGAAGACUUAAUCAAAA
rnacentral:rRNA from 1 species